AUUGAACGCUGGCGGCAUGCUUUACACAUGCAAGUCGAACGGUAACAGGCCGCAAGGUGCUGACGAGUGGCGAACGGGUGAGUAAUGCAUCGGAACGUGCCCAGUCGUGGGGGAUAACUACUCGCAAGAGUAGCUAAUACCGCAUACGAUCUAUGGAUGAAAGCGGGGGACCGUAAGGCCUCGCGCGAUUGGAGCGGCCGAUGUCAGAUUAGGUAGUUGGUGGGGUAAAGGCUCACCAAGACAACGAUCUGUAGCUGGUCUGAGAGGACAACCAGCCACACUGGGACUGAGACACGGCCCAGACUCCUACGGGAGGCAGCAGUGGGGAAUUUUGGACAAUGGGCGAAAGCCUGAUCCAGCAAUGCCGCGUGCAGGAAGAAGGCCUUCGGGUUGUAAACUGCUUUUGUACGGAACGAAACGGCUCUGGUUAAUACCCGGGGCUAAUGACGGUACCGUAAGAAUAAGCACCGGCUAACUACGUG
rnacentral:rRNA from 1 species